ensembl:lincRNA
GUGCACUCUACCUGCACGCUUCACAUUUGUUGUGCUAAUUACUUAUGUCACUUUGAAAUUUUCAUAAAAUAAGAAUUAGUAAAUAAAUAAUUAUAUUAGCUAACUCAAACAAAACAUUCAUAUAGAAUACUCAUCUCAGUGACAUGAGAUCCCUGAGAAGAGAGAACAAAAUUGCAAAUAUGAAAUAUUCCAGGCACAAAACAUUUCAGACAAGUGCCUAGUGUUCAUAUUUUGUUUCUCUCUUGAAAAUUUUCUCUUGUGAAUUUUAAUUCUUCUGCUAUAUCAAGAAGAAAGCAUAAUUUAAGAGUGGCAUGCAGGAGUGACAGGACCGACAUUCCGGGGAGAAGAUGGGCAAAAGAGAAUACAAGAGAUGAUGAACAGGGGACCCAGAAGGCAGCAGCGACUCCAGGAACAGCCCACAGGUGCAAAAGCAACUGGCUUCUGAUUUGAAAUUGAAUUUGACAAAACACUCUUUGAGACUGAUACAAGAACGGGGCUACAGAUAAC